rnacentral:rRNA from 1 species
GUUGGUUUUACCCGAAGACGGUGCGCUAACCGCAARGARGYAGCCGGCCACGGUARGGUCAGCGACUGGGGUGAAGUCGUAACAAGGUAGCCGUAGGUGAACCUGCAGAAGGAUCA